CAUAUAUAGUGUGGACACUAGGCUAAAUCAUACUAAUCAAAGAUCUAUUCAGGAACUUUCUCUUUGGCUAUAGAUUUCAAUAUGAUGAAAAUUUUAAAGGACCCAAGAGCAUAUUCAAUGUCCACAUUCAAGAAAGAAUCAAGAUUAUCGAAACUAACAAAGAGAUGAACUGCUCUCAUCAUGCAGGUUUUUGUUCCAAACAGCAUCAUUCCAUACAGAUGCUCCAUAGAAGAAAGCUUGCCACUGGCUAUACAUGACCCCCAGGUCAAUAACUCUUCUGCCUCCCUCUUGCUGGUAUUCUCCCUUGCCCCGAGCCCCUACCUGUCCUUCCCUAGCCUGCCUCUGCCUCUCCCCUCAUCCAUGGAUCUCUGAAAGGUUCUUCCACCUCCUGAACUCAACCGUACGAC